AACGAACGCUGGCGGCAGGCCUAACACAUGCCAGUCGAGCGAGACCUUCGGGUCUAGCGGCGGACGGGUGAGUAACGCGUGGGAACGUGCCCUUUUCUACGGAAUAGCCUCGGGAAACUGAGCGUAAUACCGUAUACGCCCUUUGGGGGAAAGAUUUAUCGGAGAAGGAUCGGCCCGCGUUGGAUUAGGUAGUUGGUGGGGUAAUGGCCUACCAAGCCUACGAUCCAUAGCUGGUUUGAGAGGAUGAUCAGCCACACUGGGACUGAGACACGGCCCAGACUCCUACGGGAGGCAGCAGUGGGGAAUCUUAGACAAUGGGGGCAACCCUGAUCGAGCCAUGCCGCGUGAGUGAUGAAGGCCUUAGGGUUGUAAAGCUCUUUCAGCUGGGAAGAUAAUGACGGUACCAGCAGAAGAAGCCCCGGCUAACUCCGUG
rnacentral:rRNA from 1 species